ensembl:rRNA 5S_rRNA 5S ribosomal RNA
GUCUAUGGCCAUAGCAACCUGAAUUCGCCCAAACUCAUCUGAUCUCAGAAGCUAAUCAGGGUCAUGCCUGGUUAGUACUUGGAUGAGAAGAGAAGAGGGGUUCUUUCAGCU